AUUGAACGCUGGCGGCAUGCCUUACACAUGCAAGUCGAACGGUAACAGGUCUUCGGAUGCUGACGAGUGGCGAACGGGUGAGUAAUACAUCGGAACGUGCCCGAUCGUGGGGGAUAACGAAGCGAAAGCUUUGCUAAUACCGCAUACGAUCUAAGGAUGAAAGCAGGGGACCGCAAGGCCUUGCGCGAACGGAGCGGCCGAUGGCAGAUUAGGUAGUUGGUGGGAUAAAAGCUUACCAAGCCGACGAUCUGUAGCUGGUCUGAGAGGACGACCAGCCACACUGGGACUGAGACACGGCCCAGACUCCUACGGGAGGCAGCAGUGGGGAAUUGUGGGCAAUGGGCGAAAGCCUGAUCCAGCCAUGCCGCGUGCAGGAUGAAGGCCUUCGGGUUGUAAACUGCUUUUGUACGGAACGAAAAGACUCUGGUUAAUACCUGGGGUCCAUGACGGUACCGUAAGAAUAAGCACCGGCUAACUACGUGCCAGCCGCCGCCCGUAA
rnacentral:rRNA from 1 species